CCGGAGAAUGUUAUCACGGGAGACACACGGCGGGUGCUAACGUCCGUCGUGAAGAGGGAAACAACCCAGACCGCCAGCUAAGGUCCCAAAGUCAUGGUUAAGUGGGAAACGAUGUGGGAAGGCCCAGACAGCCAGGAUGUUGGCUUAGAAGCAGCCAUCAUUUAAAGAAAGCGUAAUAGCUCACUGGUCGAGUCGGCCUGCGCGGAAGAUGUAACGGGGCUAAACCAUGCACCGAAGCUGCGGCAGCGAACGUAUCACUUAAAGCGAUUCAGCGGGUUACGAUUGACGGAGCGAAGCGACGUCAAAGCGUAUACAAAGUCGAGUCGGUUUAAGGAUACGUUCGUUGGGUAGGGGAGCGUUCUGUAAGCCUGYGAAGGUGKSYYGUGAGGSWUGCUGGAGGUAUCAGAAGUGCGAAUGCUGACAUAAGUAACGAUAAAGCGGGUGAAAAGCCCGCUCGCCGGAAGACCAAGGGUUCCUGUCCAACGUUAAUCGGGGCAGGGUGAGUCGACCCCUAAGGCGAGGCCGAAAGGCGUAGUCGAUGGGAAACGGGUUAAUAUUCCCGUACUUGGUGUUACUGCGAAGGGGGGACGGAGAAGGCUAUGUUGGCCGGGCGACGGUUGUCCCGGUUUAAGCGUGUAGGCUGGUUUUCCAGGCAAAUCCGGAAAAUCAAGGCUGAGGCGUGAUGACGAGGCACUACGGUGCUGAAGCAACAAAUGCCCUGCUUCCAGGAAAAGCCUCUAAGCAUCAGGUAACAUCAAAUCGUACCCCAAACCGACACAGGUGGUCAGGUAGAGAAUACCAAGGCGCUUGAGAGAACUCGGGUGAAGGAACUAGGCAAAAUGGUGCCGUAACUUCGGGAGAAGGCACGCUGACACGUAGGUGAAGUGAUUUACUCAUGGAGCUGAAGUCAGUCGAAGAUACCAGCUGGCUGCAACUGUUUAUUAAAAACACAGCACUGUGCAAACACGAAAGUGGACGUAUAC
rnacentral:rRNA from 1 species